rnacentral:sRNA from 1 species
UUUCUACACAUGCGCACGGUUGGACAGGCCUCCUUCCUUCUCUCCUAACGCCGCCAAGAUGGUGUUCAGGCGCUUCGUAGAGGUUGGCCGGGUGGCCUACGUCUCCUUCGGACCUCAUGCCGGAAAAUUGGUCGCAAUUGUAGAUGUUAUUGAUCAGAACAGGGUAAGUGUCACAACUUUUUACUAAACACGGCAGUGGACAUGUGCCCUGCAGAUGGCAAUAAUGAAUUGUCUCGAUGGCUGUGUAAGAUGAGGAUGCUAUGGGUAGUCGCUUUAUUUUACCAUUGAGGAAACAGGUAAUGGUAAGGGUUUUAAGCACAGCCUUAAGUUAGCUAUUAGUAUUGAAUUUUAAUAUUAGCCACUUAAGCUAGAGCCAGUUAUGGGCUGAAACGUUGGUUAGUUUUAAAUUAGUUACUAUACGUAAAGUGAGUUUAGAACAGAUCCAGCACAUAGAAAGCAUUUUUGUAUUUUCUGCUGUGUAUUUGAAACAAGCAAACUAAGGAGUUGACCACUGACUAUAAAUCAACAGGGAUCAGAGUCCUAAAGUUGCCUGUAAAUUACAUGUGGUUGGUUUCUAUGGGGUACUAAUAGUUUAAGAAGGAGCAUUUAAUGAUGUGGAGAAAUGUUUGUGUUGAGCAAAAGACGUAAAUAUAUAUGACCCAGAUAGGACAAUCCUUGUCUUUUCUGAGCAAUUUAUUAAAAUAGUAGUGUGGGUUUGAUGGCCCUGAACGGAUAAGUAAUGUUACAGAACCAUCUGACCAUUUUAAUUGCUGUUAGAUUUUGCACU